UCUUUGGAGAGUUAUAAAAACUAGAGUAGCUUAUUGAAAUAUUUUCUCAAUAGCCAAAUAGAACUCAUUGAAAAAGAAA
rnacentral:sRNA from 12 species